UUGAGUUGACCUAUAUAAAGAAGACCUGCACCUGUUGACCUACUGGUUGUAACAUAUUAAGGUUGAGGAGAAAAUGACUUGAUAAGAAACUGGCCGACAACUGCAAACGAGCAGCAAACAGGAAAACGAGCAGCAAACGGACUCAUGAAGAGGAUGGUCAGAGUUGUCCAUAGCUUUCUUGACUCUUAUGAAGAUUCCUUCUUUGCAUCAUGAUCUCUAGAGGUUCCAGUCGUCUCCAGAACAGAACCAGAACAAAUCCAGCCUUCUUUUAUCAGAUUGCUGAGCCGUUUGAGGUUCCUGGCUCUGAUGCUGCUGCACCAACAGAUGAUAGCAGAAGAGACGACGCUCUCAACAGCAGACUUGUAGAUCUGCAGCAUCGUGCUGCAAACCUUGAAGGAUGUUAGUGCAGUCUGCUCUGUCUCUUUUUAUAGACGGCUUCACUGUUGCGUCUCCAGUCCAGUCUGUUGUAAAGGUGACCACAGAGGUAUUUAUAUUCCUGAACCACCUCCACAUCUUCUCCCAUGAUGGAAAUAGGGUUUGAUCCAACCCUGUUUCUCCUGGAAUCAACAACCAUCAUCUUUGUUUUGUUUACAGUCAAGAUUAGAUGAUGGUUCCCACACCAGGCCACAAAGCGAUCCACCAGAUCUCUGUACUCGGCCACUUGUCUUUCUCUGAUUCACACAACAACUGCAGAGUCGUCUGAGUAUUUCUGUAGAUGACAGAAGUCGGACUUGUGCUGGAUGUCUGAAGUGUAGAGAGUGAAAGGAAUGGUGAGAAUACAGAGCCCUGUGGUGUUCCUAUGCUGCUGACCACCUGGUUAGACACUCAGUCCUUCAGUCUCACAACCUGUGGUCUGUUUGUCAGGUAUUCACAGAUGCAGGUGAUUGUUGAGGCCUCCGCCUGCGUCUUCUGGAGUUUCUAACAGAACAAAUCAGGCUGAACUGUGUUCAAUGCACCUGAGAAUCAAAGAACCUGGUCCUCACUGUGCUGCCUGCUUUGGGUUUGUUGAAGCAGGUGUCUGAUGGCAUCAUCAACUCCACGGCGAUGAGCAAACUGCAGGGGGUCCUGAUAUGAGCUCGUCUACUUCCUCAAGUGGGCCACCAGAGUCUCUCCAGGACCUUCAUGAUGUGGGUUGUCAGGGCAACAGGUCUACAGUCGUUGAUGACAGAUGGGUAACUUUUCUUCAGUACCAGAACCAGGCAGAAUGUCUUCCACAACAACAGAACCUCCUCUUGGGUCAGGCUAAGGUUGAUGAUGAAGAAGAGCUUGUUCCUGGACUGGACCUGUUGAAGAAUGUGUUCAGCUCAUUUGCUCUGUCCAGAAAAUAAUAUUGUCAAAAAGAAAAAGUCAUGAUAACAUGUUUUUAUGUAAUAAUGUGUGUGUAAUGUUUGUAAUAAAGAAGAUAUGAUGCAUAAUCUGAUGUCAUUACAAAAGAGUAUUGUGACUCAGUGCAAAAACACAUUUUGUUGGUUUCUGAAGAGUAAAAAUGUAACAAAUGUGUAGAUUAAGUUUAUAUUUCACAGUCAUCACAAUGCUAAAGAAAAGUCUCACAACAGUGAAAAUCACUGUGUUUAUUUACAAGACAGGAAUUGGGAGGAAGAUAU